rnacentral:tRNA from 1 species
GGAGAGAUGGCAGAGUGGUCGAUUGCGGCGGUCUUGAAAACCGUUGAACUGAAAGGUUCCGGGGGUUCGAAUCCCUCUCUCUCCGC